UGCAGGGUAGCCUAGUGGUCAUGGUAUCUGCCCGGUAAGCGGAACACUGGGUUCGAUUCCCAUCCCAUUUAGUAC